AUAAAAUCUGCCAGCUACAAGUGUUCUGAAGAUGCCAGUAAUCUCACUGAAGACUAUGGACAAGCUGAACAACUUGGAUCUGUGGAUGAAUCUCUGAGCGGGAAAACACAAAAGACUGUUCUUCAGUGGACCAAGCAAGAUGACUCCUCAGACAACGUCUGUGAAGCUGAUGUCAUACGGCACCCUGAUGCUGAAUAUAUAGAUCGUACCUUAAUCCUGAGAAUUACAGGUGCCAGAUGCUUGGAAGAUACGGGAUAUCAUGAUCUAUGAGGAAGACUUUCAAAUUACAGACAAAAGACCUUUAAAUAUUUUGGCACUUCUAUCAAGGGAAAUGUGAGCAGAACAUUUUUCACAGUUGGACAAAAGGACUCUGUAUAUAAAAAGAGCAUUCUACAGACUUAUAUCUGGACUACAUGUGAGCAAGAAUGUGCAUUUGAGUGCAAGAUAGCAUUUAUAAGGUACUUGCAACAUACUUAUUUGGAAAAGAAAUGGGGACACACAUUACAGAAUUCCAUCAGAGGUUUGAUGGCAUUUUGACUGAAGGGGAAGCUCCAAGAAGGCUCAAGAACUUGUAUUUUCUCUGCUUAAUAAAAUUAAGGCCUUAAUCUAAAAUGCAACCACUCUCUGAGCAUCCAGAUUUUCAACUAUUCAUUGGAAAUUAAGUUCAAGGUUCAGAAAACAAAAAGUUGCUUCUGGAAAUAUUUUAGGAAGUCAAAUCAUUUCUUUUGUAUUUUGAUGGAAUUCUUUUUUUACAGCAAAGUAACUAAAGACAGAUUUUAGGCUGCAUUAUAGAAGUGUUUCAAAAAAUAGGGAUUGCGUUGGUUGGUUUAAAUGUCAACUGUGGGGAAAGCUUCAGGCUCAGGAUUUGGCACUGCUCUCAAGAUCUUGUUUUCAGAGAAAUUGAUAGCAAAUGUGCCAGAAAGUGGGCCCGGUUAGGAAUCCCAUCUAACCAGACAAAAAAUAGUAUUGCUUAAUGCAUUUGGAAGAAUUUCCACAAGUGUGAAAGGAUUGUAAAACAUCAGGAACUUGUUGCAAAUUAUUAAU
rnacentral:lncRNA from 10 species